GCAGUAGCCGCGGGAAAACGAGGGGGGCAAGCGUUGUUCGGAAUUAUUGGGCGUAAAGGGUGCGUAGGCGGUUUGACAAGUCAUCUGUGAAAUCUAUGGGCUCAACCCAUAGUCUGCAGGCGAAACUGUCGGGCUUGAGUAUUGGAGAGGUGAGUGGAAUUUCCGGUGUAGCGGUGAAAUGCGUAGAUAUCGGAAGGAACACCUGUGGCGAAAGCGGCUCACUGGACAAUAACUGACGCUGAGGCACGAAAGCUAGGGGAGCAAACAGGAUUAGAUACCCCCGUAGUCCCUGUCUCUUAUAA
rnacentral:rRNA from 1 species